rnacentral:sRNA from 1 species
AGCAGCCUUUCUCCUAAGGCACCCUAGGAUCAGGAGGACCCUGUCCUCCAACCCUCUAUCCCCCAUUCCCAGGCACCUGGCGUCCUCGCAGAUCAAUCGUGUUUGCGAGCUGGGGGGCUGAGGAGUUUGGGCUCAUUGGCUCCACGGAAUUCACAGAAGUGAGUGGCCCUACAGGGUAGGGGAUCGAAAGGGGUUCCCAGGACAGAACGGCGCGGGGCUGACGUCGCCCCUCGCACCCGCAGGAGUUCUUCAACAAGCUGCAGGAGCGCACGGUGGCCUACAUCAACGUGGACAUCUCGGUGUUUGCCAACGCUACCCUUAGGGUGCAGGGGACGCCCCCUGUCCAGAGUGUCGUCUUCUCUGCAACCAAAGAGGUGGAAGGGGGCAGGCCGGGCGGGGCUGAACUAGCUGGGGCGGGCCGCGUGCGGCGGAGGCCGCACGGGUGGGCGGGGCUGGGGAG